rnacentral:rRNA from 1 species
UACGUAGGGGGCAAGCGUUGUCCGGAAUUAUUGGGCGUAAAGCGCGCGCAGGCGGUUGUUUAAGUCUGAUGUAUAAACCAAGGGCUCAACCUUUGGUGGCAUUGGAAACUGGAGAACUGGAGUGUAGGAGAGGAAAGUGGAAUUCCACGUGUAGCGGUGAAAUGCGUAGAGAUGUGGAGGAACACCAGUGGCGAAGGCGACUUUCUGGCCUAUAACUGACGCUGAGGCGCGAAAGCGUGGGGAGCAAACAGG